rnacentral:rRNA from 1 species
AUUGAACGCUGGCGGCAUGCCUUACACAUGCAAGUCGAACGGUAACGGGCCUUCGGGUGCCGACGAGUGGCGAGCGGGUGCGUAAUACAUCGGAACGUGCCCGAUCGUGGGGGAUAACGAGGCGAAAGCUUUGCUAUUACCGCAUACGAUCUACGGAUGAAAGCAGGGGACCGCAAGGCUUUGCGCGGACGGAGCGGCCGAUGGCAGAUUAGGUAGUUGGUGGGAUAAAAGCUUACCAAGCCGACGAUCUGUAGCUGGUCUGAGAGGAUGAUCAGCCACACUGGGACUGAGACACGGCCCAGACUCCUACGGGAGGCAGCAGUGGGGAAUUUUGGACAAUGGGCGCAAGCCUGAUCCAGCCAUGCCGCGUGCAGGAUGAAGGCCUUCGGGUUGUAAACUGCUUUUGUACGGAACGAAAAGCCUUCUUUUAAUACAGGAGGGUCAUGACGGUACCGUAAGAAUAAGCACCGGCUAACUACGUG